rnacentral:piRNA from 1 species
UCCAUUUCUGGAGAAGCUUGUAG